CCAGAUUCCAUGGAAAUCGUGUCUCUCUCCUCAACUCUAAUCUUUUUCAUCCCAUUCUUCAGCAGCACUCCUCAACUCCCCUACUUGGUUCUUUCUCUUGGGUACCGAUCAUGUAGGGACCAACCAAGCUGUGGACAUCUGAAGUCAAGCUAGACUCUGUUACCUGGGCAGAGAACCCAGAGACAAGCUCUGCAAGCCUGAGUCACACGUGACAUGAACAACUUUAUUCAGAGGUUUGGGAAAGGCUGGAGAAGUCCACCAUGCUGUCUGCAGUCUACCGCAGGGAAGAUCUUACAGGGGUCCCCGGCACGAAAAGCUGUUUUCAGUUUUUCAAGAAGUUGAAUUUAUGGCUUGAAAUAAAAUCAUUAUGACACCAUAAAUAUACGUGAAUACAUGAAAAGCUGAAUAUAGCUGAAGCACA